UACGAAGGGGGCUAGCGUUGCUCGGAAUUACUGGGCGUAAGGGCGCGUAGGCGGACAGUUUAGUCAGAGGUGAAAGCCCAGGGCUCAACCUUGGAAUUGCCUUCGAUACUGGCAAUCUCGAGUCCGGAAGAGGUUGGUGGAACAGCUAGUGUAGAGGUGAAAUUCGUAGAUAUUAGCUAGAACACCAGUGGCGAAGGCGGCCAACUGGUCCGGUACUGACGCUGAGGUGCGAAAGCGUGGGGAGCAAACAGG
rnacentral:rRNA from 1 species